UUCGAAGUUUAACGGCCAUCUUGAAUGUUUCGCGGGUAAAGCCAUUGCCGCGGGAGAGAGAGAGCAGAAGACCGCUUUAUUGAAAGCCAAUGCCGCGGGAGAGAGAGCGCAGAAGGCCUCUUUCUUGAAAGCCAAUGCUGCGGGAAAGGGAGAGCAGAAGAUCUCUUUCUUGAAAGCCGAUAGUGUGGGAGAGGGAGAUAAUGCAGAGAGAGGGAGAGAGAGAGAGAGAGCCCGCACUGGUCGUUGUCGUGGGUGGGGCUUGUGGUUUCAAGCAGAGGUAGAGCCGGUUGAAUGCAACGAGCUUUUCCGGCUUCGGCGACCCUUUUCUCAGGUUCCUUGGGUUUGCGAAUCCGACGAACCUAAUUUUGAAUCGCUCGCAGCCGGCAAAGGCCGUCGAAGAUCGGCUGAUCGGCAGCCCUAAACCUUCUCAAAUGAACCCCUUCGCCGCCUACUCCCCUCCUUGGCAGCCAUCGGAGGGUCUGGUUUUGAGAAGACGCUUCCCUGCAAUUGAUGCAGUGGAUAGAGCAAGAGUGGUAGUGCUGGUGGUGGUGAAGUUGUGAUCAAGUGCUGCUCAUGCUGAUGGUGGUGAAGAUGUCAUCAAGUGCAGGUCAGGUGUACUAUCCAAUCUGGAUGAAGUCUUCAGUUUGUGUCCAUUUCCUGAAGAAACAAAAUUGAUGGCUGGAAUCCCAUUAGAGGAAAAUUUGAAGCUGAACCAUACAAAUGGAAAACCGCUUCUCUGUAAAAAUGGACCCAAAUGUGAAUGUAAUUUACUUCAACGGGAGACAGGAAACAGAAUUUAGUUAUGGAAGAAGACUUCAUAAGAGGUUGUACUAUAAACGCCUUCAAAAAAAAAUUCCUUGAAUUUCAAACAAAAGAAAUAAAAAAAUAAGUACAAAUAAAUUUCAAUCCAUAAGUACCUGAAAUAGGGUAAUCAAGGCUGCAUCUAUGUAGUCCUGCUGAGGAGUGUAAGUAUACAGGAUGUCCACAGGGUAUUUCCGUCCUUGGAUAUGGACAGCUUUUGCACCACCAAGGCACUCAGAGAAUCCCCUUGCAUCAAGACUAGCAGACAUGACAAUCAACUUUAAAGGGCAACCUGAGGGAGAUGCUUGGCCCUUCCAACCACUUCCACUUCCAAUUGAUGUGUCUUCAUUGGAGUCUAUAUUAUCGAUUUUCUUGACAUUGUCCUUGUUCAUGACUUGCUGUGACCUUGAUUUUUGAACACCUUUCAAAAUGCCUAAUACCACAUCUGUGUGGACUGUCCUC